AUGGAAAUGCUGUUACUCCAGCUGAUUAGCGACAUAGGCUGCCGGCUGCGGGGAUGGGAUGGGAGUCCUGGGGCAGGGGUGGAGAAGGCAUCUGGAAGGCAAAGCCGUUGGAGAAGGCAUCAUCUGGAAGGCAAAGCUGUUGAAGGAGGCAUCUGGAAGGCAGAGCCAUUGGAGAAGGGAUCAUCUGGAAGGCAAAUCCAUUGGAGAAGGGAUCAUCUGGAAGGCAAAGCCAUUGGAGAAGGGAUCAUCUGGAAGGCAAAGCCAUUGGAGAAGGGAUCAUCUGGAAGGCAAAGCCGUUGGAGAAGGGAUCAUCUGGAAGGCAAAGCUGUUGGGCUCUGGUCUUUGCUUCGAGCGUUUGGAUGUCCCCCACCGUGGUUUAGAAAGGGGAAACAAAGGAGAACCAGGGGGUUGGUUUCCAGUGUGUUGCGGAUUAUUGAUAUACCUCAACUAAAGCUCAGCACUUUCACUGGUGGUGGGAGAAAUUCAGACACCCAAGAAGCAGCCGCCCCUGCAGCGGAGCGGAUCCAAAUCUGGCCUCGGCAGCCCGUGACUCAGUGCCCGUGGUCCCGCUCAGCUUCGCCGUGUGCCCGGCAGCGGCCAGCCAAGUCUGGGAACGGGAUUGCCAGAGCUCCAGUGAGCGCAUGCCGAGAGAGGAGGGGGCAGCAGCACCCACGGGUGUGUCCCAUCACUCCCAGGUGCCACCUGGGAGAAGAGGAGCCGGUAACAUGCAGCCUCCGAUGGGAGACGAGCAAACACUGCAACCGGAGGCACCAGCUGAAAAUGAGACGUUUGGGAGCCGACGGAGUUUCAAGCUGAAGGAUACAAUCAGCAAUGUGAGAUGUGACUUUUAAAACUCUCUUCUGACAGAUUCAGCAGCUAUUUGACAUGUGAAAUGACAUGUGAGAUCAAACCACGCCGGUGUUUACCUCGGCAGCCAUCAGUCCUCUGAAACCAGAAGCCAUUUUCUGUGGGUUGUCACAUUCGGGCUGAACGUCUUCACGGGAGGCGUACGGGACUAUUUAUUAUGGCCAUGAAAAUAACAGUUUUGCUUUUGAAUAUUAUCUUCUAAGGAGGAGUGGGAGCUUGAGGGCCCACAGUUAAAGUGUAAUAUUCACUUCACAACAAGCAAACGGAGCGCGUUGCCGCUGUUCCGGAUUUUCCAUCCCGGUUCAUGAGCUGUUAUUUAACAUUCCAAAACCUCAGCGUCACGUGUUAAGGGGGCAAACAAGAGGGGCGGCUUGAAUUUGUUACCUGAGUGUGCUCAGCCGAUCACAAGCCGGAUUUAUUUCUCAUCUGCAACAAUAAAAUUUAAGGCCUGAC
rnacentral:lncRNA from 1 species